rnacentral:rRNA from 1 species
CGGUAAGGCUUUGCACUUAGCAUUCGAUCGUCAUAGCAUUAGCUGUGGAAUCAACCCAAUUCAAAACCUAUGGCUAGGGGAGAUGCGGCAAGAAAGAUCGAAUAAUAAGUGCAGAGUACACGAGCGGCGGACGGGUGAGUAACGCGUGGGAAUCUACCCCAAACUGAGGGAUAAGCACCGGAAACGGUGUCUAAUACCGCAUAUGGUCUUCGGAUUAAAGCUUCGGCGGUUUGGGAAGAGCCCGCGUAAGAUUAGCUAGUUGGUGAGGUAAUAGCUCACCAAGGCGACGAUCUUUAACUGGUUUGAGAGGAUGAUCAGUCACACUGGAACUGAGACACGGUCCAGACUCCUACGGGAGGCAGCAGUAAGGAAUUUUCCACAAUGGGCGAAAGCCUGAUGGAGCAACGCCGCGUGCAGGAUGAAGGCCCUAGGGUUGUAAACUGCUUUUAUAUGUGACGAAUAUGACGGUAGCAUAUGAAUAAGGAUCGGCUAACUCCGUG